UCAUGAGCCCACCUGGGCACCCUCUCGAGCCCACCUGGGCACCCUCUUUGUCCCCUUUUUCCCGUGCAGGGACUCCCAGGGCCAGCUGGCACUGAGGGGCAGAAGGGCCAGAAGGGUGAGAAGGGCGAUGGGGGACUGCAGGGCAAGCCAGGGCGCCCUGGGCGUGAUGGCCGGCCUGGAGAGAUCUGCGUGGUGGGACCCAAGGGCCAGAAGGGUGACCCCGGCCUCGUGGGACCGGAGGGGUUGGCCGGUGAACCAGGACCCCCGGGCAAGCCAGGCUCUCCAGGGGUUGGCAUUCCAGGGAAGCCGGGUGACCCUGGUGGCCCUCCAGGUGCAAAGGGAGAGAAGGGCAGCCCGGGAGCUCCUGGACCCGGAGGAUCGCCUGGGACACCCGGUCUCCCUGGAGUGCUGGGGCCUAAAGGAGACAAGGUG
rnacentral:lncRNA from 1 species